UACGGAGGAUCCGAGCGUUAUCCGGAUUUAUUGGGUUUAAAGGGUGCGCAGGCGGGGGAUUAAGUCGGCGGUGAAAUUUUGCAGCUCAACUGUAAAAGUGCCUUCGAAACUGGUUUCCUUGAGUGUAGAUGAAGUAGGCGGAAUUUGUGGUGUAGCGGUGAAAUGCAUAGAUAUCACGAGGAACUCCGAUUGCGCAGGCAGCUUACUAAACUACUACUGACGCUCAGGCACGAAAGCGUGGGGAUCAAACAGGAUUAGAUACCCCGGUAGUCCCU
rnacentral:rRNA from 1 species